rnacentral:rRNA from 1 species
CACGUAGGGUGCGAGCGUUGUCCGGAAUUAUUGGGCGUAAAGAGCUCGUAGGCGGUGUGUCGCGUCGGCCGUGAAAACCUGCAGCUUAACUGUGGGCUUGCGGUCGAUACGGGCAUCACUGGAGUUCGGCAGGGGAGACUGGAAUUCCUGGUGUAGCGGUGAAAUGCGUAGAUAUCUGGAGGAACACCGGUGGCGAAGGCGGCAUCCUGGACCAACACUGACGCUGAGUGAGCGAAAGCCAGGGGAGCAAACGGG